GAUGAACGCUGGCGGCGUGCCUAAUACAUGCAAGUCGAGCGAACAGACGAGGAGCUUGCUUCUCUGAUGUUAGCGGCGGACGGGUGAGUAACACGUGGAUAACCUACCUAUAAGACUGGGAUAACUUCGGGAAACCGUAGCUAAUACCGGAUAAUAUUUUGAACCGCAUGGUUCAAUAGUGAAAGACGGUCUUGCUGUCACUUAUAGAUGGAUCCGCGCUGCAUUAGCUAGUUGGUAAGGUAACGGCUUACCAAGGCAACGAUGCGUAGCCGACCUGAGAGGGUGAUCGGCCACACUGGAACUGAGACACGGUCCAGACUCCUACGGGAGGCAGCAGUAGGGAAUCUUCCGCAAAGGGCGAAAGCCUGACGGAGCAACGCCGCGUGAGUGAUGAAGGUCUUCGGAUCGUAAAACUCUGUUAUUAGGGAAGAACAGAUGUGUAAGUAACUGUGCACAUCUUGACGGUACCUAAUCAGAAAGCCACGGCUAACUACGUG
rnacentral:rRNA from 1 species